GUUUAAUUUCUUUAUGGGAGUUCCCAAGGGUUCUUCUGUUUUAUGCUUGUUGAAAGAAAUGAAUGAGCAAAAAAUGCUUAUUAGGAGCAAUUGAUCUGAUCCUACAAGGAGCUCAAAAUCUGGUAGUACCAAUAAAUGCUAGACUCAAUUCCUCCAGUUCAAGAAGAAAACAGCAGCAGAAACUCUUGGUAACAACUAACACCCCCACAACCACCCACGGCGGCCGCGAAUUCUGCUGGCUAACUCAAGA
rnacentral:misc_RNA from 1 species